rnacentral:rRNA from 1 species
AGUGAACGCUGGCGGUAGGCCUAACACAUGCAAGUCGAACGGCAGCACAGUAAGAGCUUGCUCUUACGGGUGGCGAGUGGCGGACGGGUGAGGAAUACAUCGGAAUCUACUUUUUCGUGGGGGAUAACGUAGGGAAACUUACGCUAAUACCGCAUACGACCUACGGGUGAAAGCAGGGGAUCUUCGGACCUUGCGCGAUUGAAUGAGCCGAUGUCGGAUUAGCUAGUUGGCGGGGUAAAGGCCCACCAAGGCGACGAUCCGUAGCUGGUCUGAGAGGAUGAUCAGCCACACUGGAACUGAGAAACGGGCCAGACUCCUACGGGAGGCAGCAGUGGGGAAUAUUGGACAAUGGGCGCAAGCCUGAUCCAGCCAUACCGCGUGGGUGAAGAAGGCCUUCGGGUUGUAAAGCCCUUUUGUUGGGAAAGAAAAGCAGCAGGUUAAUACCCCGCUGUUCUGACGGUACCCAAAGAAUAAGCAACGGCUAACUUCGUG